rnacentral:rRNA from 1 species
AACGAACGCUGGCGGCACGCUUAACACAUGCAAGUCGAACGGGAAACUCCCCUCGGGGAGUGGAGAGUGGCGCACGGGUGAGUAACGCGUAGAUAAUCUACCCUUUAGUCCGGGAUAACCUCCUGAAAAGGAAGCUAAUACCGGUUAACAAUGGGGAUCGACUGGUCCCUAUUUAAAAGCUCCGGCGCUAGGGGAUGAGUCUGCGUUCCAUUAGCUAGUUGGUGGGGUAAUGGCCCACCAAGGCGACGAUGGAUAGCGGGUCUGAGAGGAUGAUCCGCCACACUGGCACUGAGACACGGGCCAG